rnacentral:lncRNA from 1 species
AUGGGAUUGAGCCGCCCUCUCUCUCCCUCUUCUGUGCCUGCUCUGCCCCACCCUGUGGUUGUGAGUGUGUGUGUGUGUGUUUUAUUCCAAUACCUUGCUGGGAACAAGGGAGACACACAACAAGCCCCAUGCCUCACUCUAGCUGUGGAGCAUCCGUGCUGGGCUGCAUGGGGACUGGCCGGAGGGGGCGGGCCAGGGGAGGGGGUAGGUAGAGCUUCGGGAGGAGAUGAGGUGAAAGUGACUGAUGCUGCCCAGCAGGCCGUGGAAGAGGCAGGGGAUGCGUCAGUGUUGCCCGGAGCUGGCAGAGGAGUGAAUGAGCGGAGGAGACGCACGCUCUCCACUCCAAGUGUUCACCCCAAGAUGGCGGCGGCUCAGGGACCUGUGGACGCCUCCUCCCCAGAACAGAAUGGUGCUAUGCCCAACGAGGCCAUCAAGGACCACAGCCUCCAACGGGGCAACUGGGGCAACCAGAUCGAGUUUGUACUGACGAGCGUGGGCUAUGCUGUGGGCCUGGGCAAUGUCUGGCGCUUCCCAUACCUCUGCUAUCGCAACGGGGGAGGAGCCUUCCUGAUCCCCUACUUCAUCAUGGUCACCUUCUGUGGGAUCCCUGUCUUCUUCAUGGAACUCUCCUUCGGCCAGUUUGCAAGUCAGGGCUGCCUGGGGGUCUGGAGGAUCAGCCCCAUGUUCAAAGGUGUGGGCUACGGCAUGAUCGUGGUGUCCACGUACAUCGGCAUAUACUACAACAUGGUGGUCAGCAUCGCCUUCUACUACUUCUUCUCGUCCCUGACGUCUGUGCUGCCCUGGACCUACUGCGAUAACCCUUGGAACACGCCCGACUGUGUGAGCGUGUUGGAUAACCCCAACAUCACUAAAAGCGUGCAGCCUCCUGCCCUGCUUGGCAACGUCUCUCAGGCACUCAACCUUACCCUCCAGAGGACAAGCCCCAGCGAGGAGUACUGGAAGUUCUACGUGCUGAAGAUGUCAGAUGACAUUGGAAACUUCGGGGAGGUGCAGGUGCACCUCCUCAGCUGCCUCUUUGUCUCCUGGGUGGUCGUCUUCCUCUGCCUCAUGCAAGGGAUCAGGACUUCAGGGAAAGUGGUGUACUUCACGGCCACAUUCCCCUACGUGGUGCUGACCAUCCUGUUCUUCCGUGGCGUGACCCUGGAAGGAGCCUCCACGGGCAUCAAGUACUACCUGACGCCACAGUGGGACAAGAUCCUGGAGGCCAAGGUCUGGGGGGACGCCGCCUCCCAGAUCUUCUACUCGCUGGGCUGUGCGUGGGGCGGGCUCAUCACCAUGGCUUCCUACAACAAGUUCCACAACAACUGUUACCGAGACAGUGUCGUCAUCAGCAUCACUAACUGUGCCACCAGCAUCUAUGCCGGCUUCGUCAUCUUCUCCAUCCUGGGCUUCAUGGCCAAUCACCUGGGUGAAGACGUGUCCAGUGUGGCAGAACACGGCCCAGGCCUGGCCUUCGUGGCGUACCCAGAGGCCCUCACACUGCUGCCCAUCGCCCCACUCUGGUCCCUGCUCUUCUUCUUCAUGCUCAUCUUGAUGGGGCUGGGCACUCAGUUUUGCCUCCUAGAGACGCUGGUCACAGCCCUUGUGGAUGAGGUCGGGAACGAGUGGAUCCUACAGCGAAAGAGUUAUGUGACCUUGGGCAUAGCUGUGGCUGGCUUCCUUCUGGGUAUUCCCCUCACCAGCCAGGCAGGCAUCUACUGGCUGCUGCUGAUGGACAACUACGCGGCCAGCUUCUCCCUGGUCAUCAUCUCCUGUAUCAUGUGUGUGUGCAUCAUGUACAUUUACGGGCACCAGAACUACUUCCAGGACGUCCAGAUGAUGCUGGGGUUCCCACCGCCCCUCUUCUUCCAGAUCUGCUGGCGCGUAAUCUCACCAGCUAUCAUCUUUGGCUCCCAGGAAACUGCCGCCCUGUGGGAAGACCCAGGGCACCACCCAGGCAGGGCAGGAGGAAGGAGGAAGCCUGGGUCCGGUGUCUCCAGGAAACUGAGGCAAAGCCCGCAGCAGCCUCUCUGCUCAGAAAGCCAGGCUGGAAUCCCCUCAGUUGAUUCUCAUCUUCCUGGUGAUCCAGUACGAGACAAUCACCUACAACGAAUACCAGUAUCCAAGCUGGGCCGAGGCCAUUGGCUUCCUUAUGGCUCUGUCCUCUGUUAUUUGCAUUCCAUUCUACGCCCUGUUCUACUUCCGGAUAACAGAUGGGGACACCUUCCUCCAGCGUUUGAAAAACUCAACAAAGCCAAGCGGAGACUGGGGUCCCGCCCUCCUGGAGCACCGAACAGGGCGCUACGCCCCCACCAUUCCACCCUCCCCUGAAGAUGGGCUUGAGUUCCAGCCGCUGGACCCAGACAAGGCCCAGAUUCCCAUGGUGGGCAGUAAUGACCCCAUCCGUCUGCAGGACUCCCAGAUGUG